ensembl:lncRNA
UAACCUUUACACUAAACUAUAAAAUAUAAUUUAUAACAACUUUAAUAGCAAUACCUUCAAUUUCAGUCUCUUCUAAUGUUGUGCCCUGAAGAUUUGUAAGUGAACCUUUCUCCAUGGCAAGUAGUAGUUUGGAUAUUUUGGCCAGCUGGGUUGUAGCCUCAGGAAGCCUGUAAUACUCUCUGAGGACACGAAUAUCGUGGCCCAAAAAGUCAGCAACUUGGUCCAACUCGUGGUUUUUGAGGUUUAGGACCUGUGACAAAGUUGCUACAUGUUUGUGUAAUUCUGUUGACUUGAGAAGUUCAGGGUUUUGCGCACCACACUCAUUUGCAUAAAUCCUCAGACAGUCUUGUCCUCGUUAAGGAGUCAAACAGUUGGGUCUUGCAAUCAGGAAUAUGUUUUCUUCUGGGACUCCAUGCUCUUUUCUUCUGCUUAUGAGGCAUGUUAAGGCAUCAACCAUGUCUGACAAUAGCAACACUGCAACCUUUCGCCCCCUUUUACCACUAAUUUCCUCCCGACUGAAAUGUGCACAAAGUUUUUGUUCAAACUUUGUGACUCCAACAGCAACUUCAAUAUGUAGGGCAGCUGUGUCCCUUUCUAGGAAGCCUUUUAAUUGCAUCUUUGCAACCUCUCCUCCACGUCUUCGGUUGAACAGUAUUAUUUUAGCUAGAGUUGCUCUGCAAAGUUCCCCACAGACUUGUGCUGAUGGAAUCUUUAAGUUCUCAGAUGCUAAACCAGCAAUCUUUUCAAGAUGCUUGUGAAGACAUUGUACAUCCUCUGUGAAAGGGAGGGUUGAGGGAUGGCUUGUUAAAGUGCCCCUCAUUCAAGGUGGUCAAAGCUGUGUGUGAAACAAGUUCAGACCAUUUUGCAUUAUAUAGCCUUUUGAAUGUCUGUGUUGACUUUAUCCCCUCACUGUCUUCUGCCAUUAGAGCUCUGCCAUGUAUAAUGUCACAUCUUUUUCAAGGAGUGGCCCAACUUAAGAGCAAGGCUUGGAGUCUGAAUCAGCAGAAGUCUUCCAAGUUCCCGGAGCUUUUGUCGAAUAUAGUCAUAUUUGGUGGGAUCCUGCCCAUAUUUAUUGAAAAAUGAUCGGGCCAGCUGAAUAAUGCAGAAGUCACUCCUCAAAGCAGCAGAGAUGUCAUCAUCUUUCAUCACAGUUAAUAGCUUCCAAACAUGUAUUAGACAUUGUUGCCAAAGUCAAGACCCUAGUUCUUCCUGGCUCUGCCCGAUCUUCCACUGGUUUUGAAAGACAAUUUCUAACGUGUCGCCACAGAUCUCUCCGGAGAAACAUUGCAUUGCAAUACAUACAAUGCACGUAGAAGCAAACCAAAGAAAAAAUAUAGUUCAAAGGACUGAGUCUUAACAAUCCGGUCCCACUUGCUAAAACAUCUUUAUUGUGUUCAAAGUUCCCUUUGUUCC